rnacentral:siRNA from 1 species
UUUGCACUAUUGGAGUUUUGCUC